CAAACUUGACCUGACGUUUCAUAGAACACACCACCCAACAACAGAAUAUAGAACACGCCACUCAACAACAGAAUAUAGAACAAUCCACCAAACAACAGAAUAUAGAACACUCUACCCAACAACAGAAUAUAGAACAUGCCACCCAACAACAGAAUAUAUAUGCUUUUAAUGUCUGUAUAGUAUAUUCUCAAAGACAGACAAAUCUCAACAUACUUAAAGAGACUGAAAUCAAGGUACAUUCUCUUGACUUCAACAGAAAUUAGAAAUCAAUAAUAAAAAGCUAUCUAGAACCCCCUACUAAAUAUUUAAAAAUUAGCAUACUUCUAAAUAAUUCACAGCAAGAAAUUACAAGGGGAAAUUGCUCCCUCUGUCGCCCAGGCUGGAGUGCAGUAGCGCGACCUCGGAUCACUGCAACCUCGCCUCCAGGGUUCAAGUCAUUCUCCGGCCUCAGCCUCCCGAGUAUCUGGGAUUACAAGCACAAGCCACCACACCUGACUAAUUUUUGUAUUUUUAGUACAGACGGGGUUUCAACAUGUUGGGCAGACUGGUCUCAAACUCCUGACCUCAAGUGAUCCACCACCCACCUUGGCCUCCCAAACCGCUAGGAUUACAGGCGUGAGCCACUGCUGCCCCACCAGAAAAUAUUUUUAAUUUAAAGAAAAUUUUUAAAAAAUUCAAAAAUUGUGGGAAACAGUUAAAACAAUACCGUGAGAGCAAAAAUCACGACAAAGGAUUAUCAAUGAGAAAGACCUCGAAAAUCAGUGAUCCAAGAGUCUGCUUUUAAAAACUUAAACUAGCCUGGUGCAGUGGCUCACACCUGUAAUCCUAGCACUCUGGGAGGCCGAGGCAGGCGGAUCACCUUUGGUCAGGAGUUCCGACACCAGCCUCGCCAACAUAGUGAAAUCCCAUCUCUACUAAAGAUACAAAAAUUAGCUGGGCAUGGUGGUACAUGCCUGCAG
rnacentral:lncRNA from 10 species